AGUGAACGCUGGCGGUAGGCCUAACACAUGCAAGUCGAACGGCAGCACAGUAAGAGCUUGCUCUUACGGGUGGCGAGUGGCGGACGGGUGAGGAAUACAUCGGAAUCUACUUUUUCGUGGGGGAUAACGUAGGGAAACUUACGCUAAUACCGCAUACGACCUACGGGUGAAAGCAGGGGAUCUUCGGACCUUGCGCGAUUGAAUGAGCCGAUGUCGGAUUAGCUAGUUGGCGGGGUAAAGGCCCACCAAGGCGACGAUCCGUAGCUGGUCUGAGAGGAUGAUCAGCCAAACUAGAACUGAGACACGGUCCAGACUCCUACGGGAGGCAGCAGUGGGGAAUAUUGGACAAUGGGCGCAAGCCUGAUCCAGCCAUACCGCGUGGGUGAAGAAGGCCUUCGGGUUGUAAAGCCCUUUUGUUGGGAAAGAAAAGCAGCAGGUUAAUACCCCGCUGUUCUGACGGUACCCAAAGAAUAAGCACCGGCUAACUUCGUG
rnacentral:rRNA from 1 species